UCACUUACCUGGCAGGGGAGAUACCAUGAUCACCAAGGUGGUUCUCCCAGGGUGAGGCUCAUCCAUUGCAUUCCAUGCAGCAUGUGCUAACCCCUGCGAUUUCCCCAAAUGCGGGAACUUUGACUGCAUAAUUUGUGGUAGUGGGAGGACUGUGUUUUUUUUUUUU
rnacentral:snRNA from 1 species